CACAUUUCCAAAACCUUACUGCAAAUGCAAGAAUUCCAAAUUCAUGCCAUUUACUGAAAUCUGUUAGAUUCUAAACUUAUAUGCAUUGAUCCUCUUGUAAUGAUUAUGCACAAAGUCACAAAGACUUGACAACAACCAUUACAGAGCAUUCCGAAAGAGAUCAGCUCCUUGGAAACAUCCUUCUUGCAUUAAGUUUCCAAAUAUUACAUAGAUUGAAUAAUUUCUAACUUUGAAACAUUUCCAGAUUCCAUUUUGACUAUCACUUCUGAACAAGAGUUGCCUCCUUAUAGAUGAUGUCAAUAUGGUCCUUCUAGAAUUAUCACUAUACUUCCAACUGUCCUUGAGCAACAAAUCUUUGGUAAACCUUAGAUUGUCCUCGACAAUUGUUUAAUCCUUUUAGUCAUAUCAAAUUCGAGACCUUUUCCCUUCUUAAUGCCCCAAGGAUUUGGAAAAUUUUAGAAAGGAUGAAUAUAGCACAUGUAAUCGAUCCUAUAUCUGAAGCAUAUGGGACACGAUUCAUGAUGUCUCAGAUAAAGCCUAAACUAGUCUUUUGCUAUAAUAUUUCCAUUUCAAUUUGCCAAGUUCUCAUAAUUCAGAUUAGAAAAAGGGAUGUCGUAAUCAUAAUUGAAUUUUAAAAACGCAAAUAAUGGAUCCAUAUAUAGAAUUUUUCUUAUGUUGAGCCAUUCCAACAUGAAAUUCCUAUAUAUGUCCUUGACUAAAUAUGAUUAAAACCUCAACCUAAGCUUUUAGAUUUCAAAUGAAGUAUAAUUUCCUCUCCCUUAGUUAUAGGAAAACAACUUUUUCCCAAUUGAAACUUUUGUUUUCUAUAAUUAACAUUGCUAACUUGCAAUACUUAUCAUAAUUAUCAUGCUCCCACUAACAUGAUGAUUAUUAGCAUAACACUUAUGCUCCCACUAGCUUUGACAUGUACUCAGAAAUCAGCUGGACUUCUAGGAAUCAAUACUUUAUUGACUUUCUUACCAAAGUUCAGAUUUCUGAUACUAGAUUGCUUUGAUAAAAUUUUAUCGUUAUAAAGUUCCCUAGGAACUAGGCUGGACAUGAGUAUAGCCUACCAUCCACAUACCGACGAGCAAAGUGAGAGAAUUAUCCAAACCUUGGAAGAUAUGUUGCGAGCAUGUGUGGUCAACUUUGGGAAAGCAUGGGAUACUCAUUUACCCCUUGUCGAAUUUUCCUACAACAACAAUUAUCACAUGAGCAUAAAGGCUGCUCCAUUCGAGGCCCUCUAUGGUCGAAAGUGCAGAUCCCUUCUAUGUUGGGCUGAGGUGGGUGAUACCCAGAGUUAGCUAAAGGAUGAGUUCCUAACAGCACUCUCACAGGUCCGGAGAUCAUAUGGGAAACGACGGAGAAAGUCGUUCAGAUGCGUGAGCGAUUGAAACCCUCUAGAGACCGACAUAAAAGCUACACUGAUAAACGUACGAAACCGUUGCAAUUCUAGGUGGUGACCGUCUUCUAUUGAAGGUCUCACCCUGGAAGGUCUGUCCGACGAGACUCUUGUAAUCCCCCUCGACGAGAUCGAGAUCAACGAGAGCCUCAACUUCGUGUAAGAACCAGUGGAGAUCAUGGACCAGGUUCCCUAGAAAGCAAACGAAACAAAGCCGUAUCCCGAUAGUGAAGGUUUGCUGGAACGCCAAGCGAGGACCUGAAUUCACUUGGGAGUGUGAGAAUCAGAUGAAACUGAAAUAUACUCGUCUUUUUACUUAGUUAUUUGUAACUACUUAUUUGCUUAAACUCUAAUUUCGGGACGAAAUUCCUUCUAAGGAGGGGAUGAUGUGACAACCUGAAAUUUCUAUUCUUUACGACAUUUCCAUUCAAUAGAAGUCAGAACAGUACUAUUAAUUUUCAGACUUUUUAGAAGAAGUUUGAGUAUUUUAGGAUUAACAAUUUACGAGAGAUCAGGAGAGAGGAUGCCCUAGACUUUAUUGUGCAACAAUAAAGUCCCGACACAUCAAAAUAUAGGAGUUUACGGCCUAAACAAUGGUGUUUACGGCCGUAAACUCCAAGGAAUGGGGUAUAUAAGUGACACUUAGUCAUUUAUAUCAUUUUCCACCUUUUCAAGAACAAACCUCAAACUCUCUCAAGUAUCAUCAAAGUUUUCNAUCAAAGUUUCUUCAAGAUCUUCAAUCUAGUAAGUGUUUCUAGCCCUUUCUAGUUAGUAUAUCACCUAAUCUAGUGUUUUAACACACGUCCAUCCGUGAAAAUGUUCCAAAAGGUUGUUCUUCAAGUUUCACCAAGAACACACACUAGUGUUCUUGGACUUUUGGCUCAUUUCAAGCUUCUAUAUUGUAAGUACUUCUGUCCUAGAGUAUCAUAGAGCUUAUUAUACUUCCAUAUAUCAAGAAAACACAAAGAAACACUAAGAUCAAAGUUGUUUACGGUCCAUGAACUCCGUGAACCGUAAACCCUUCUUAAGGGGAAAAAGUGACCCUAGUCCCUUCCUUCCCUUGGGAAACUAGUCUAGACACAUUCCUUAAUGUGUAUAGGACUUGAAAACAUCAAAAUACCAUGAUCCAUGAGGGUUUACGACCGUAAACCCUAAGGAAAAUGGUCUUAGGGUCGUAAACUCCUCAAAGGAGGGAAAUGGUGCCCUAACUUCUUCCUUAGGCUUAUACAUCAAGUAGAAAUGCUUCUAGGCAAUUAUAAACCUUCAAAUCAAGAAAUGGACAAAGGAGUAUGAGCUUACGAACGUAAACUCAUGGGUUUACGACCGUAAACUCAAUGAGUUGAGGUCACAAUACCGUAAACACAAGAAAGGGGUUCUUUUGAACCCUAAACCCAAUAGCUUUGUCCUACAACACUUAGAUGCAAUCCUGGGACUUAUAACACUUAUAUAAAGUGUUUAACUUGUCUUAGGAUGUUAUAACUUUGUAAAUUAGUUGUUUAAAGACUAAUUGGAUACAUAUAUGUGCGUUUAUAUGUUAACUAGGAUCAUUGUGUGUGUAUAAGUCUUCACUUGACACCUAACAAUCCUAUAUCUUCAGUUCAUCCAAAUCGCUCACUACAGGUGAGUUCAUACCCCUUAAAUUGACCUUUUAAUGUUUUUAAAUUCUUUUAUGGGGGGAUACAAGUUGAAUACUUAUAGUUAUUAUAUCAAUCACAUGUGAUUAAUAGCUACCAAACAAGUGGUUUUCUUACUUUUCAAACUGUGUUAUCAAACUGUUUUGCUUCAAACUAUUUUACAAACUCCUCUGUUGUCAAAUAAUUUAACUUCAACUCUUUUCAUACUUUUAUAUUUUCAAACACAUGCCUUUGUAUGUAUAGUUAUAUAAGUAAUUUUUAAAGGAUUUAGGAUGGCUAGCUCGCAUUAUCUCCUUUUCCUUGUUAAGAUGUGGCGUUAGGGCAUCGGGUAUCCGUCCGAAGGUCGUCUAAAUAUUAGUUAUAUAUUAUGUAUACAUAUAUAGACAUAAAAGUUCCACCAUCCAAUUCAAUACUCUUGAGUAGCAAGGGUAUACAUUGAUGAUCAUUAUGUACAAGUCAUAUUACUAGUAAACUACGAUAGGCAUAGUUUAGGAAGAUACUAAUGCUAUUACAAGAACGAAGAAUCAUACAAUUAGUCGGUUCAUUCAUGAGUUAAUACUUGCUAGAUAGAGAGAGAGCACAAUACAGCUAGUACACACAGUAAAUUACUAUACAUGCUAGAUAGAGAAAUAACACACAUUACAGCUAGUACACGCAGAACUUGACAAUACAUACAGGCUAGACAGAGAAAGAACACACAAUACAGCUAGGACAUACAUUACAUAUACAUUCAUGCAGUUAUUGUUGGUUUUUGAGCACUCUAACACUCCUAAGUGUACAUGCAACCCUAAAUACCUUGGAUCUAUGUUUUCUCUAUUAUACAUGCAAAUAUGAACUUUCGAAGGUAUUCAUCCUAACUAGCAUAAUAAUAUGAUUCAUAUGAAUAUAUAUCAAUUUACAAUUACAUACCUCUUUAAUGUAGAAAGUAUUCAUGAAGCUUGACUUCCUAGUACCCCAAGUGUGACACCUCAAAUGGUUCACACAACACCAGAUACACUUGGAAUAACUUGAGAGAAACUUGUACACUCCUUGAAAUCGUCUAGCCCUCACACUCACACAUAGUGCACGAGUUAUUGAACCAUGGUAUUCUUUUAUAUGGUGGUUGUUAGGGUUACACCAUGUAACUCAUGACUUUACCUAUUCCUUAUGCUCCAUGGAUUUUAACCUCCAUGGAGUAUCCAUGGGUCACCCCAUGCACUUAGUCCAACACAAGGAAUCUUGGAUCACAAGCCCACAUAUAUAAUAAUGAAUGAUUUACACAAUCAACCCAUAUAUUUAAUUACUCUCCUUUUGAUCACUUAAUUAAUUCCAAAUUAAUUCUUGAUCAAUACCAAUUAAAUAACCUUAUUAAUAUAUUAGAACUUAUAAUAUAUUAACAAACCUUAAGUGUUAUUUCUCUCAUUUUAGUCUAUCCAAAUGCAUGAUGCCAUGCAACCCAAAUGGACCAUGUCGGGUCGGGUCAAGUCUUACCAAUUAUAGUUAUGGACAUAGACAUUAAUCCAACAGUCUCCCACUUGGAUAAGUCUAAAACUAUUACUGCGUAUGACUUCAAGAACCGACUGGCAAUCGUAGCUCUCAAAAGCUUCUGUCGAACUCUGACCUUGUAGAUGAACUCUGACCUUUGUCAAUGACUUGUCCAUUAGAUAAGGGAUCAUAUAUUCCUCCAUUCUAGAUAUCAUAUGGACUGAGACAUGGAUUAUAAUCAUUCUCUCUGUCCAUUUGUUGUUUCCCGAUUUCCGAUUUAUGACGACUGACUAAUUGAACAAAUCAAAUCAGUCCUGGCCCGGCCGAGCACUUCCAUUUGUCAUCAUCAAAUCAUCGAGGGGCCCACAGAUAUCGCUUUUAUCCCGAAGGUAAAAGGAACGGAUAAACUUCGACUCAUAUGGCUUGUUCUACUACUUGUUGAAUCAUACACAAAGGCACGUUUUAUAGCACCGAGUUACCAAAUGCGUUUUCGUGCAAUCAAUGUACAACCAACUCAUAGUAACAACUCAUAUCUCUAGGUUUGAAGAAUAUAAGAUAUUAUCGUCUCAUGAUCACUCGUGAUAAAAUCCAUGAAGUGAUUCCAAUGAGCGCGGGUUGAAUCCAAUACUCAGAACUUAUGAGCACUCAUGAGUGUUGUAGCCCUUUGUCCAACACCUUAGACCUCUACAAGCCAACCCAUGACAGUCUUAAUUCAUAUCUACUUCCAACAUAUGACCGACUGUGGAUGGUUUGAAUAACUUAGUCAUCCAGAACAAUGACCUAGUUAUGAAGGAAGUCAAAACACGCAAAGUGACACAAAAUAAUAAUUGAAUCCAAUAAGGUAUCAAAACCUAUGAACAUAAAUAAAACACCUUUUAUUUAUCACCAUAUGAUUACACAUUAUUCAUUGUAUAUUGUUUCAGCUAUCAACUUUAUUCUUGAAUUUAAAACAAUAGUUGUCCCAUGCUCCAAGCAUGUACACUAUGUUUUCUUAACACUAGUCAUGCCAUACACCAAGUAUGCAUACUAUGUUUGUCUAUGAUCUUUACUUUGUGAACUAGAUCAAUUGAACAUAACUUCAAUGAUUCUCUUUUCACACUCCCAAAUCCUUACUGCAAAUGCAAGAAUUCCAAAUUCAUGCCAUUUACUGAAAUCUGUUAGAUUCUAAACUUAUAUGGAUUGAUCCUCUUGUAAUGAUUAUCCACAAAGUCGCAAAGACUUGACAACAACCAUUACAGAGCAUUCCAAAAGAGAUCAGCUCCUUGGAAACAUCCUUCUUCCAUUAAGUUUCCAAAUAUUACACAGAUUGAAUAAUU
rnacentral:lncRNA from 1 species